CCCAAGUCUUCGAGUUCCCUAACUUGAAGACGUGAUUCCUAACUCAGCUUAUAGAAUACUGAGACUAGAACAAUUUACUCAUUACAACUAAAGAACCUUCCUAUUACAAGCAGUCUAAAACAUACUAAGUGAGAACUAGGUUCUUCUUCAAGUUAGUGAACGAUUUUGCUGAUUGUUGAUUUUCUUAUCAGUGCUUCAUCAUCAUUUGA
rnacentral:lncRNA from 1 species